rnacentral:rRNA from 1 species
GACGGGCGAGGCAAAAGAUAUCCGGAAUCACUGGGCGUAGAGCGUCUGUAGGUGGUGAUGCAAGUCACUGGUGCAAAACUCUGGCUCAACCGGAGGAAAGCCAGUGAAACUGCAUGACUAGAGUGUGGGAGAGGUAGAAGGAAUUCCCUGAGUAGCGGUGAAAUGCGUAGAUACAGGGAAGAACACCGGAGGCGAAAGCGUUCUACUGGAACACAACUGACAAUGAGAGACGAAAGCUAGGGGAGCGAAUGGG